AUCUUGCGCAUGGGCGAAAGCCUGNGCAGCAACGCCGCGUGAGGGAUGAAGGCCUUCGGGUUGUAAACCUCUUUCAAGCAGGGACGAUAGUGACGGUACCUGCAGAAGAAGCUCCGGCCAACUACGUGCCAGCAGCCGCGGUGAUACGUAGGGAGCGAGCGUUGUCCGGAUUCAUUGGGCGUAAAGAGCUCGUAGGCGGCUCAGUAAGUCAGGUGUGAAACCCUCAGGCUCAACCUGGGGCCGCCAUCUGAUACUGCUGUGGCUAGAGCCCGGUAGGGGUACACGGAAUUCCUGGUGUAGCNGGUGAAAUGCGCAGAUAUCAGGAGGAACACCAGUGGCGAAGGCGGUGUACUGGGCCGGUGCUGACGCUGAGGAGCGAAAGCGUGGGGAGCGAACAGGAUUAGAUACCCUGGUAGUCCACGCCGUAAACGUUGGGCACUAGGUGUGGGGCCUUGUCAACGGGCUCCGUGCCGUAGCUAACGCAUUAAGUGCCCCGCCUGGGGAGUACGGCCGCAAGGCUAAAACUCAAAGAAAUUGACGGA
rnacentral:rRNA from 1 species